CGUGUAGGCGGGUAUAUAAGUCAGAAGUGAAAUCCUAUAGCUUAACUAUAGAACUGCUUUUGAAACUGUAUACCUAGAAUGUGGGAGAGGUAGAUGGAAUUUCUGGUGUAGGGGUAAAAUCCGUAGAGAUCAGAAGGAAUAUCGAUUGCGAAGGCGAUCUACUGGAACAUUAUUGACGCUGAGACGCGAAAGUGUGGGGGAGCAAACA
rnacentral:rRNA from 1 species